rnacentral:rRNA from 1 species
UGCCUACGGGGGGCAGCAGUGAGGAAUAUUGGUCAAUGGGCUUACGCCUGAACCAGCCAAGUCGCGUGAGGGAAGACUGCCCUAUGGGUUGUAAACCUCUUUUGUCAGGGAGCAACGCCGGCUACGUGUAGCCGGACUGAGAGUACCUGAAGAAAAAGCAUCGGCUAACUCCGUGCCAGCAGCCGCGGUAAUACGGAGGAUGCGAGCGUUAUCCGGAUUUAUUGGGUUUAAAGUGUGCGUAGGCGGCCUGCUAAGUCUGGAGUGAAAGGUACCGGCUCAACCGGUACAG